UACAGAGGUCUCAAGCGUUGUUCGGAUUCAUUGGGCGUAAAGGGUGCGUAGGUGGCGCGCUAAGUCAGGUGUGAAAUUUCGGAGCUUAACUCCCGAAACUGCAUUUGAUACUGGCGUGCUUGAGGACUGGAGAGGAGACGUGGAAUUCAUGGUGUAGCAGUGAAAUGCGUAGAGACUCAUGGAGGAAGACCAGUGGCGAAGGCAGCUCGCUGGGACGGUAC
rnacentral:rRNA from 1 species